ACGCUGGCGGCGUGCCUAACACAUGCAAGUCGAACGCGAAAGUCCCGCAAGGGCUUAGUGUCCACAAACGGGUGAGUAACGCGUGGGUGACCUGUUAAGAGUAGGGGAUAACGUUCCGAAAGGGACGCUAAUACCGCAUAACAUCCUGCCUUUGAAGAGGUGGAGAUCACUCCCCGCAAGAUCGCAAGACCUGGCGCUCGAAGAGGGGCCCGCGUCCGAUUAGCUAGUUGGUGGGGUAACGGCUCACCAAGGCGACGAUCGGUAGCCGGCCUGAGAGGGCGGACGGCCACACUGGGACUGAGACACGGCCCAGACUCCUAC
rnacentral:rRNA from 1 species